rnacentral:lncRNA from 1 species
UUUACACUGAGGGCACUGGUAAUACCUGUAAUAGUCUUAUAGUACUUAUAAAGCAGUUUGAUUUGUAAUUUCUAUCUGACUAAGGCCUAGAGAUUUCAAAACUGUUCUUUGCAAUUCCUCUCAUACUGAACCUCUGGUUCAGCAGCUUUUGUUGUUGUUGUUGUUGUUUUCAAGUUUUAUCAUUUUUGUUCCUAUUUGGUUUUGUCGUUUUUAAAUUGGGAAUUGCUUCUAAAACAGAAGACAUGAAAAGAGAAUUAAAAAUACAAUA